UUCGUCGGCCGGAGUCGAACCCGGGUCAAUUUUUUGAGAAACAGCUAAUCUGACCGUUGAACUACCGACGC